AGAGUUUGAUCCUGGCUCAGAUUGAACGCUGGCGGCAUGCUUUACACAUGCAAGUCGAACGGCAGCACGGGUGCUUGCACCUGGUGGCGAGUGGCGAACGGGUGAGUAAUGCAUCGGAACGUACCCAGUCGUGGGGGAUAGCCCGGGGAAACCCGGAUUAAUACCGCAUACGCCCUGAGGGGGAAAGUGGGGGACCGCAAGGCCUCACGCGAUUGGAGCGGCUGAUGUCGGAUUAGCUAGUUGGUGGGGUAAAGGCCUACCAAGGCGACGAUCCGUAGCUGGUCUGAGAGGAUGAUCAGCCACACUGGGACUGAGACACGGCCCAGACUCCUACGGGAGGCAGCAGUGGGGAAUUUUGGACAAUGGGGGCAACCCUGAUCCAGCCAUGCCGCGUGAGUGAAGAAGGCCUUCGGGUUGUAAAGCUCUUUCAGUUGGGAAGAAACGGGGUUCUCUAAUACAGGGCUCUAAUGACGGUACCGACAGAAGAAGCACCGGCUAACUACGUGCCAGCAGCCGCGGUAAUACGUAGGGUGCGAGCGUUAAUCGGAAUUACUGGGCGUAAAGCGUGCGCAGGCGGUUGUGUAAGACAGGUGUGAAAUCCCCGGGCUUAACCUGGGGAACUGCGCUUGUGACUGCACGGCUAGAGUACGGCAGAGGGGGGGUGGAAUUCCACGUGUAGCAGUGAAAUGCGUAAAGAUGUGGAGGAACACCGAUGGCGAAGGCAGCCCCCUGGGCCGAUACUGACGCUCAUGCACGAAAGCGUGGGGAGCAAACAGGAUUAAAUACCCUGGUAGUCCACGCCCUAAACGAUGCGAACUGGAUGUUGGGCACACUCAGGUGCUCAGUGUCGAAGCUAACGCGUUAAGUUCGCCGCCUGGGGAGUACGGUCGCAAGACUGAAACUCAAAGGAAUUGACGGGGGCCCGCACAAGCGGUGGAGUAUGUGGUUUAAUUCGAUGCAACGCGCAGAACCUUACCUGGCCUUGACAUCCACGGAACUUUCCAGAGAUGGAUUGGUGCCUUCGGGAACCGUGAGACAGGUGCUGCAUGGCUGUCGUCAGCUCGUGUCGUGAGAUGUUGGGUUAAGUCCCGCAACGAGCGCAACCCUUGUCCUUAGUUGCCAGCACGUAAAGGUGGGAACUCUAAGGAGACUGCCGGUGACAAACCGGAGGAAGGUGGGGAUGACGUCAAGUCAUCAUGGCCCUUACGGCCAGGGCUACACACGUACUACAAUGGUGGGGACAGAGGGCUGCAAGCCGGCGACGGUGAGCCAAUCCCAGAAACCCCAUCUCAGUCCGGAUCGGAGUCUGCAACUCGACUCCGUGAAGUCGGAAUCGCUAGUAAUCGCAGAUCAGCAUUGCUGCGGUGAAUACGUUCCCGGGCCUUGUACACACCGCCCGUCACACCAUGGGAGUGGGUUGCUCCAGAAGUAGCUAGUCUAACCGCAAGGGGGACGGUUACCACGGAGUGAUUCAUGACUGGGGUGAAGUCGUAACAAGGUAGCCGUA
rnacentral:rRNA from 1 species